rnacentral:rRNA from 1 species
UACAGAGGUCUCAAGCGUUAUUCGGAUUCAUUGGGCGUAAAGGGUGCGUAGGCGGCGCGGUAAGUCGGGUGUGAAAUCUCGGAGCUUAACUCCGAGACUGCAUUCGAUACUGCCGUGCUUGAGGACUGGAGAGGAGACUGGAAUUUACGGUGUAGCGGUGAAAUGCGUAGAUAUCAGGAGGAACACCGGUGGCGAAGGCGCACAUCUGGCCCGAUACUGACGCUGAGGCGCGAAAGCUAGGGGAGCAAACGGG